AUCCGGAAUCAUUGGGCGUAAAGCGUCUGUAGGUUGUUUAAUAAGUCUGUUGUUAAAGACUAGGGCUCAACCCUAGAAAAGCAAUGGAAACUACUAGACUUGAGUAUGGCAGGGGUAGAGGGAAUUUCUAGUGUAGCGGUGAAAUGCGUAGAUAUUAGAAAGAACACCAGCGGCGAAAGCGCUCUACUGGACCAUUACUGACACUCAGAGACGAAAGCUAGGGUAGCAAAAGGGAUUAGAUACCCCUGUAGUCCUAGCCGUAAACGAUGGAUACUAGAUGUUGUGUUUAAUAUGCAGUAUCGUAGCUAACGCGUUAAGUAUCCCGCCUGGGGAGUACGCUCGCAAGGGUGAAACUCAAAGGAAUUGACGGGGGCCCGCACAAGCGGUGGAGCAUGUGGUUUAAUUCGAUGCAACGCGAAGAACCUUACCAGGACUUGACAUACUACAAAUUUCUUUGAAAAAAGGAAGUGCCUUCGGGAAUGUAGAUACAGGUGGUGCAUGGCUGUCGUCAGCUCGUGUCGUGAGAUGUUGGGUUAAGUCCCGCAACGAGCGCAACCCUUAUUUUUAGUUACUAAUUAAUUAGGUUUUCUAGAAAGACUGCCGGUGACAAACCGGAGGAAGGUGAGGAUGACGUCAAGUCAGCAUGCCCCUUAUGUCCUGGGCUACACACGUGCUACAAUGGUUAAAACAAAGGGUCGCGAGCUCGUGAGAGUCAGCUAAUCCCAUAAAUUUAGCCUAAGUUCAGAUUGUAGGCUG
rnacentral:rRNA from 1 species